UACUACGCCAUCAUUUAUUUACGUCGCGGCAAAAAAAGAAAAAAAAAAAAAAAAAAAGAGGAAAAAACACAAUGUGAGAGGUUACCUGCGUGGACGUUAAAGAUGGACAAAUGUAAACAUAAAAGUGGGGCCUUAAAGAGAAUGUGGAGAAGUUAGUCACGACAACAAAAACUACCCAAAAAUAGACCGUUUUUUUGCCGACCUAACGUAAGGACAACCACAACGUCGAAAGUGAGAGGGAAGUUUUGUCAGCUAAUAUCAGUUGCACGUCUUUGGAUGAGAACAACAAUGCAGCUGACAGCUUGAUGAGGUGCAGAGAGUCGGGGAGCAAAGAAGCAGUCGCAGACGAGCCAAAAGCUGGAUAUUCGGUGGGAAAUAUGUCAAAAAAUUUACGGAGCACCAUGUCGCAAAACAAACUAUCGGGACGGGCAAUUCUCUCCAUCGAGAAUGCACGAAGCUGUGAAUUAAACACCACGUUCAUCGUGGAUGAAUUUACCGAAAGAAAGGCCCGGAGAAUGCAACUAAAAUGAAUCUUCUGUAAAAACUUCUAACUGACGUCAGUUUAAAAUCACACUGAAGUAACAACAGAGAGCAGCUCAACCCAACACUGAUUCAAGAACCCAGAGCCACGGCUCACUGAAAUCUCCAAUAACUGCAGAUAUGGGACCGAGUGUUGAGGCAUUAAUAAAAUGUCCCAGUGAUUCAGUUACCUCAGUUGGAAAACCUGACAGAACUGCACUUCUACACCACGACGCUAAAAGAGAAAAGUCACCGCACUAGACUUGGAAACAUCUUAAUGAGGACAGUCUGACAUUUGAAGACCUCACCACCCUACGCCAGAGCACCCAACCUCUGCUCAAAUGAGGAAUACACAGCACCAUGCCUGACGAGAUAGCAGAAAGGCCAGGGUCAGCAGGUUUUGAUAAGAUUAGGGGUAACAAUGCAUGCCCAUGUGACCCAGCUGCUCAUUUGAUUCAGAAAGCAGCCCACAUCUUAGCUUCUACUGGCUCCGUCUGAUAAGAAUGUGCUGCUGUGUCUGAAAUCACUCACUCAUUGACUGUUCCUUAUAUAGUGAAUGGCACGUAUUGCACUGUAUGGUGGAACGAGUUACCAAAAUGUGGAUGGGAUGCUGAUGUAAAAUGGAACGAUGAUGAAAAUAGCAUUUACAUCUAAUGAAUUAUUCAAAUAAAGAUGAACAAAACAUGUAGUUUGCAAA